rnacentral:lncRNA from 1 species
GUUUGGAAACUAUCUCCCCUGUCUGGUGUCCUUGCAGCUGUGCAUCUGUCAGUCUGUGCUGUCAUCUUCUUCAGGGUAACCUCAAAUGUUCCAAGGUCUUACACCUACUCAUCAUAUUCAGGGAACUGAGACUCCACACACCUCACUUUGAGGCUGGAAUAUGCUGAAACUGCCUCCACAAACUCAUUAUUCUGGACCAAGACUUACAGCCUAAAGUGAAGGACAUUUCCAAAGAAAUUUUCUCCUCACUGAUGCCUCUCCUGCUGCAAUGCAAUGACCCUGGCUAUGUACAAGACAUACUUUGGCUUGCUCCUGGGAAACCUUUGCUCUGUAAAGAGCACUGAGCUGUUGCUACCAUUGCUGGCUUCAAGCACUUUGUCCCCAUUCAUUUCCAAGGUCAGACCUAAUGCCAAGACUUUCUUGAAGGAGAAGUGGGGAGUCUCAGCUACUGCUGCCAGAAAGGCAGAUGUUUUCAUUGUUUGCUGCAACUUGUUUGUCUUAUAGUGGUUUCUCAAGAUAUCCAGGAAGAAAGAAAAACAAAUACCUCACCCUGCCCUAGGAAAGUGACAGACUGUGAUGACACUUCCAUCACAAAACAGGCCUGGACUCUGAAGCAGUUGUCUCCUUUAACACAUCCAUGUUAAAACCAGUCUAAGUUUCGCCUUCUCAGGCAUGCUCCCACUACAUUGUGUUUACAAUUUUUUUCUCUAUUAUUAUUUUACUUAUUAUUUUUUUGAGAUGGAGUCUCACUCUGUUACCCAGGCUGGAGAGCAGUGGCGCUAUCUCGGCUCACUGCAAGCUCCGCCUCCCAGGUUCACGCCAUUCUCCUGCCUCAGCCUCCUGAGUAGCUGGUACUACAGGCACCCGCCACCACGCCUGGCUAAUUUUUUGUAUUUUUAGUAGAGAUGGGGUUUCACCAUGUUAGCCAGAAUGGUCUCAAUCUCCUGACCUCGUGAUCCACCCAACUCGGCCUCCCAAAGUGCUGGGAUUACAGGCGUGAGCCACCGCGCCUGGCCUUAAAAUAUUUUAAUACACAUUUUCAUUUAUUGGAGAAAUGUGUCAUUGCUUAAGUUGUUCUGUUUAAACAAUGUGAUACAGGUCUCAUUUAAUUUAGAAAGUUUAUUUUGCCAAGGUUGAGGAUGCACGCCUGUGACACAGCCUCAGGAGGUUCUGACAACAUGUGUCCAAGGCGGUCAGAGCAUAGUUUGGUUUUAUACAUUUUAGGGAGACAUGAGAUGUCAAUCAACAUAUGUAAGAUGAACAUUGGUUCAAUCUGGAAAGGUGGGCAACUUUAAGCAAAGGCAGGAAGACUUGAAGUCAUGAGGGGCCUUCCAGGUCAUAGGCAGAUAAGAGAAAAAUGAUUGUAUUAUUUUGAGUUUCUGAUUAGCCUCUCCAAAGGAGGCAAUCAAUUAUCUCAGUGAGCAGAGGGGUGACUUUGAAUAGAAUGGGAGGCAAGUUUGCCCUAAGCAGUUCCCACUUGACUUUUCCCUUUAGCUUAGUGAUUUGGGGGCCCCAAGAUUUAUUUUCCUUUCACACUCCUAGGUACAGUGCCUAGUCAG